rnacentral:rRNA from 1 species
AUUGAACGCUGGCGGCGGGCCUCACACAUGCAAGUCGAACGAGUGGCGGACGGGUGAGUAAUGACUAGGAAACUGCAUGAAGGAGGGGGAUAACUCAUGGAAAAGGGCGCUAAUACCGAAUACUAUCCGAUGCGCAUAGGUCGGAUUAGCUAGUUGGAGGGGUAACGGCCUACCAAGGCGACGAUGCGUAACUGGUCUGAAAGGAUGAUCAGUCACAUUGGAACUGAGACACGGUCCAGACUCCUCCGGGAGGCAGCAGGGGGGAAUAUUGGACAAUGGGCGAAAGCCUGAUCAAGCCAGGCCGCGUGUGUGAAGAAGGCCUUCGGGUUGUAAAGUACUUUCAGCGGGGAGGCGUUACCCGCAGAAGAAGCACCGGCUAACUCCGUGCCAGCAGCCGCGGUAAUUC